rnacentral:rRNA from 3 species
UACGAAGGGGGCUAGCGUUGUUCGGAAUCACUGGGCGUAAAGGGCGCGUAGGCGGCGCGACAAGUCAGGCGUGAAAGCCCCGGGCUCAACCCGGGAAUUGCGCUUGAUACUGUCGUGCUUGAGGCCGGGAGAGGAUGGCGGAAUUCCCAGUGUAGAGGUGAAAUUCGUAGAUAUUGGGAAGAACACCGGUGGCGAAGGCGGCCAUCUGGACCGGUUCUGACGCUGAGGCGCGAAAGCGUGGGGAGCAAACAGG